GAUGAACGCUGGCGGCGUGCUUAACACAUGCAAGUCGAACGAUGAAGCCCAGCUUGCUUGGUGGAUUAGUGGCGAACGGGUGAGUAACACGUGAGUAACCUGCCCUUAACUCUGGGAUAAGCCUGGGAAACUGGGUCUAAUACCGGAUAGGAGCGUCCACCGCAUGGUGGGUGUUGGAAAGAUUUAUCGGUUUUGGAUGGACUCGCGGCCUAUCAGCUUGUUGGUGAGGUAAUGGCUCACCAAGGCGACGACGGGUAGCCGGCCUGAGAGGGUGACCGGCCACACUGGGACUGAGACACGGCCCAGACUCCUACGGGAGGCAGCAGUGGGGAAUAUUGCACAAUGGGCGCAAGCCUGAUGCAGCGACGCCGCGUGAGGGAUGACGGCCUUCGGGUUGUAAACCUCUUUCAGUAGGGAAGAAGCGAAAGUGACGGUACCUGCAGAAGAAGCACCGGCUAACUACGUG
rnacentral:rRNA from 1 species